rnacentral:sRNA from 1 species
GACAAUCAGCACGGAAAUGGGACGGGAC